rnacentral:rRNA from 1 species
UGCAGUCGAGCGGUAACAGGAAUAGCUUGCUAUUCGCUGACGAGCGGCGGACGGGUGAGUAACGCGUAGGAAUCUGCCCGGUAGUGGGGGAUAGCCCGGAGAAAUCCGGAUUAAUACCGCAUACGCCCUAAGGGGGAAAGCAGGGGAUCUUCGGACCUUGCGCUAUCGGAUGAGCCUGCGUCGGAUUAGCUUGUUGGUGGGGUAAUGGCCUACCAAGGCAACGAUCCGUAGCUGGUCUGAGAGGAUGAUCAGCCACACCGGAACUGGGACACGGUCCGGACUCCUACGGGAGGCAGCAGUGGGGAAUAUUGCACAAUGGGCGCAAGCCUGAUGCAGCCAUGCCGCGUGUGUGAAGAAGGCCUUCGGGUUGUAAAGCACUUUCAGCAGGGAGGAAAGGUUGUAAAUUAAUACUUUGCAGCUGUGACGUUACCUGCAGAAGAAGCACCGGCUAACUCCGUGCCAGCAGCCGCGGUAAUACGGAGGGUGCAAGCGUUAAUCGGAAUUACUGGGCGUAAAGCGCGCGUAGGCGGCUUGUUAAGCCAGAUGUGAAAGCCCCGGGCUUAACCUGGGAACUGCAUUUGGAACUGGCAGGCUAGAGUACAGAAGAGGGUGGUAGAAUUUCCUGUGUAGCGGUGAAAUGCGUAGAUAUAGGAAGGAAUACCAGUGGCGAAGGCGGCCACCUGGUCUGAUACUGACGCUGAGGUGCGAAAGCGUGGGGAGCAAUCAGGAUUAGAUACCCUGGUAGUCCACGCCGUAAACGAUGUCGACUAGCCGUUGGGACCCUUGAGGUCUUAGUGGCGCAGCUAACGCGUUAAGUCGACCGCCUGGGGAGUACGGUCGCAAGAUUAAAACUCAAUGAAUUGACGGGG